GUCAGGAUAGCUCAGUUGGUGUAGCAGAGG
rnacentral:tRNA from 1 species